rnacentral:rRNA from 1 species
CAGCCGCCACGGUAAUACGUAGGUGGCGAGCGUUGUCCGGAAUUAUUGGGCGUAAAGGGAGCGCAGGCGGACAUAUAAGUCCAUCUUAAAAGUGCGGGGCUCAACCCCGUGAGGGGAUGGAAACUGUAUGCCUUGAGUGCAGGAGAGGAAAGCGGAAUUCCCAGUGUAGCGGUGAAAUGCGUAGAUAUUAGGAGGAAUACCAGUGGCGAAGGCGACUUUCUGGACUGCAACUGACACUGAGGCACGAAAGCGUGGGGAGCAAAUAGGAUUAGAUACCCCAGUAGUCCCUGUCUCUUAUACA